rnacentral:rRNA from 1 species
AGCAGCCGCGGUAAUUCCAGCUCCAAUAGCGUAUAUUAAAGUUGUUGCAGUUAAAAGCUCGUAGUUGAAUUUCGGGGUUAAUAAGUUGGUCGUACCUAUGGUAUGUACUGGCUUUAUUGAUUCCUACCUCUUGACGAACUGUGAUGCCAUUAAUUUGGUGUUGCAAGGAAUCAGGACUGUUACCUUGAAAAAUUAGAGUGUUUAAAGCAGGCUUACGCUUGAAUACAUUAGCAUGGAAUAAUGAAAUAGGACGUUUGAACCUAUUUUGUUGGUUUCUAGGAUCGACGUAAUGAUUAAUAGGGAUAGUUGGGGCAUUAGUAUUCAAUUGUCAGAGGUGAAAUUUCUUGGAUUUUUAUUGAAGACUAACUACUGCGAAAGCAUUUUGCCAAGGAUGUUUUUCAUUAAUCAAGAACGAAAGUUUAGGGGAUCGAAGACGAUCAGAUACCGUCGUAGUCUUAAACCAUAAAACUAUGCCCGACUAGGAUCGGAUGAUGUUAAAUUUUUAAAAUGACUCAUUCGG